rnacentral:tRNA from 1 species
GGAACCGUAGCUCAGUUGGAUAGAGCGAGCGCCUCCUAAGCGCUAGGCCAUCGGUUCGAUCCCGAUCGGUUCCG